rnacentral:rRNA from 1 species
UACGGGGGGAGCAAGCGUUGUUCGGAUUUACUGGGCGUAAAGGGCGCGUAGGCGGUCAGCACAAGUCAGUUGUGAAAUCUCCGGGCUUAACUCGGAAAGGUCAACUGAUACUGUGCGACUAGAGUGCGGAAGGGGCAACUGGAAUUCUCGGUGUAGCGGUGAAAUGCGUAGAUAUCGAGAGGAACACCUGCGGCGAAGGCGGGUUGCUGGGCCGACACUGACGCUGAUGCGCAAAGCCAGGGGAGCGAACGGG